rnacentral:ncRNA from 1 species
GAGAUAAUUAUCUCGAAUAUGAUUCAUGAUGCUUUUGUUUGGACGCUGUUUGCAUGGUUUAUCAUUUGUUUAUUUGGGUAAAUUUCAUAGACAAAACUUUGUAACAAUUAAAAUAAACGAUAUUGGUUAUACAUGAAUCUUUGGAACUACAAGUGUAGU